CCUUGACCUCAAAUCGGGUGAGACUACCCGCUGA
rnacentral:rRNA from 1 species